rnacentral:miRNA from 15 species
CAUUCAGCCUUUGAACGGUAGA